rnacentral:rRNA from 1 species
UACGAAGGGAGCUAGCGUUGUUCGGAAUCACUGGGCGUAAAGCGCACGUAGGCGGAUGUGUCAGUCAGGGGUGAAAUCCCGGAGCUCAACUUCGGAACUGCCUUUGAUACAGCACGUCUUGAGUCCGAUAGAGGUGGGUGGAAUUCCUAGUGUAGAGGUGAAAUUCGUAGAUAUUCGCAAGAACACCAGUGGCGAAGGCGGCUCACUGGCCCGGUACUGACGCUGAGGUGCGAAAGCGUGGGAGCAAACAGG